rnacentral:rRNA from 1 species
GAGUUUGAUCCUGGCUCAGAUUGAACACUGGCGGCAUGCCUUACACAUGCAAAUCGAACGGCAGCACGGGAGCAAUCCUGGUGGCGAGUGGCGAACGGGUGAGUAAUAUAUCGGAACGUACCUUUCAGUGGGGGAUAACGUAGCGAAAGUUACGCUAAUACCGCAUAUUCUGUGAGCAGGAAAGCAGGGGACCUUCGGGCCUUGCGCUGAUUGAGCGGCCGAUAUCAGAUUAGCUAGUUGGUGAGGUAAAGGCUCACCAAGGCGACGAUCUGUAGCGGGUCUGAGAGGAUGAUCCGCCACACUGGAACUGAGACACGGUCCAGACUCCUACGGGAGGCAGCAGUGGGGAAUUUUGGACAAUGGGGGCAACCCUGAUCCAGCCAUGCCGCGUGAGUGAAGAAGGCCUUCGGGUUGUAAAGCUCUUUCGGCCGGGAAGAAAUCGCAUCAGCUAAUACCUGGUGUGGAUGACGGUACCGGAAUAAGAAGCACCGGCUAACUACGUGCCAGCAGCCGCGGUAAUAC